rnacentral:rRNA from 1 species
UACAGAGACUGCAAGCGUUAUUCGGAAUUACUGGGCGUAAAGCGUGCGCAGGCGGUGAGCUGUGUCCGAUGUGAAAGCCCCGGGCUUAACCUGGGAAUGGCAUUGGAAACUGGCUCGCUGGAGUGUGGCAGAGGGGGGUGGAAUUCCGCGUGUAGCAGUGAAAUGCGUAGAGAUGCGGAGGAACACCGAUGGCGAAGGCAGCCCCCUGGGCUAACACUGACGCUCAGGCACGAAAGCGUGGGGAGCAAACAGG